rnacentral:rRNA from 1 species
UACAGAGGUGCCGAGCGUUAGGCGGAAUCACUGGGCUUAAAGCGCGCGUAGGCGGACGGGUAAGUACCUUGUGAAAUCCCACGGCUCAACCGUGGAACGGCUGGGUAUACUGCCCGUCUUGAGGCACUCAGGGGCGAGCGGAACAAAUGGUGGAGCGGUGAAAUGCGUAGAUAUCAUUUGGAACGCCGACGGUGAAAACAGCUCGCUGGGGGUGUCCUGACGCUGAGGCGCGAAAGCCAGGGGAGCGAACGGG